UAUCGCGUGUAUUUAAUUUCGCCAGACAGCUCAAAUAGCAGCGUCGUCGCGGAACUCGUCAGCGAGCGCAAAUAAGCGUUAAAAUGAAAUACGACGGUAUGCCCAAAGAUGACGAAGUGGUCGGGGGGAUAUAACGGGGGACGAGAAUCGUGAGUUUUACGCCCGCCGUCCUCCAGCCCCUGCCGCGCGCUGCUCGACCACCUAGCAGCGGGGGGUAAUGAGAAUGGGAUGGACGCGGAAGCCAGGAGAAGCUGCGGGAGAACGGCCGUGUUCCGGUAGUACGUGAAGCAGCGCGCGCGUGCGGCGUUAUGAGGAAGGUGGUGACAAAAAGGGUUGCUCGCGCGCACGCGAAGCAUUAGCCGACUCGAGACAUUAUUCAUCGGCUAUCGCCGUCGCCAAAAUUAUGCUCUUUAUUACGAGAUGAAAUUACAAAAUAUCGAUCGGAUUGUACAACCCGAGAUGGAUCUACUCCGGAGAGAAAGGAAAAAAGUAUGACUAAACGUCGAUCGAAAUUGCAUAAUCGCGGACGUACGAAUAACGAAGCGCAAAGUUUCCUCUAAUAACAAAAGUAACUCAGAGACUCGAAGCAAAAUAAAAGCGGAUUCGUGGAAGGAUCUGCACUCUAGUGAAUCACAAGUGAGAUAUGAAUUAUGCAUUCGACUAACGCAGGUCCCCUUCUUGCUUUUCGACUUACCCGAGGAAUCGAGCGAGUUCAAAAAGACCAAUAGAAAAAUACGAAAC